CUACGGGGGGCUGCAGUGAGGAAUAUUGCACAAUGGGGGGAACCCUGAUGCAGCAACGCCGCGUGGAGGAUGACGCAUUUCGGUGUGUAAACUCCUUUUAUAUGUCAAGAAAAUGACGGUAGCAUAUGAAUAAGCACCGGCUAACUCCGUGCCAGCAGCCGCGGUAAUACGGAGGGUGCAAGCGUUACUCGGACUCACUGGGCGUAAAGGGACGCGUAGGCGGGUUGGAAAGUCAGGUGUGAAAUCCUACAGCUUAACUGUAGAACUGCACUUGAAACUUCUAAUCUAGAGUAUGGGAGGGGGAGAUGGAAUUAGUGGUGUAGGGGUAAAAUCCGUAGAUAUCACUAGGAAUACCUAAAGCGAAGGCGAUCUCCUGGAACAUUACUGACGCUAAGGCGUGAAAGCGUGGGGAGCAAACAGGAUUAGAUACCCUCGUAGUC
rnacentral:rRNA from 1 species